AUGACCCAGCCCACGCAGAGACUGCGCUGCGGUCCCUCCCCUAGCCCGAGGCCCGUGGGGGGCUCCUCGGGGGACAGUCUCAGUUUCGUGCCGUUAUUUAAAGAAUCUCUCCACGUUUUUGUAUUGGGAGGCACCAUCGGCACUUCCUCCUCCCCCUCCCCCAGUGCCAAGAAGGUGUUGGACGAGCCCGCCCUCCCCCGCCGGUGCCCCUCCUCCCCGGCCAAGGCGCCUGGACCUGGCGAGGACGCUGCCAGCCGAGCGGACUGAUUAACCAGUCUGUACAUAGUGUAUAUUGCUCUAACCAACCGCACACCUCGUCCUGCUCUGGCUUUUGCCUCCUUAACACCAACCUGCUGCGACGGACCCGCCCCAGCCCCCUCCCAGUCCCAUCUCACUGCCAGCAGCUUCCUGCGGAGACGGCAUCGAGCUCUUGGCUGCGUCGCCGGCCGCCCUGGGCUGGUGAAGUGGGCUCCGUGUUGCCUGUUCUCUCCUCCAGGCCGUCGACUUCUGUCCCCGGCACACAGGGUCUUGGCCUCGGUGGGGCCCCUGCUGGCUCUCGUCCCUCCCCAUUGUCCUCUGGGAGCUGGGGACACGGCCUCAAGGCAGGCCCCAGCCCUGCGGUUCCCCAGAGGCAGCCAGUCCUGCCCUUUGGCCAACAGAUUUCUUCUCCUGCCUUCUAGAUGCCUCUGAGCUGCAAACCCAGGGGAGUCAUGGCUUCUAAUUUAUACCAACAUGUUUCAGUUCCGACAGAAAGGUAGGGGUGUGUCUGUACAGAGAUGGGGCUUGCAGGGGGCUGUGGAAGCGUUAUUUUAACAGAUAAAGUGAAGCCAAAUCAAAUGAAUUAAGCUCCUCACAAUUAUUUUCUUUCCCUGAAGUUUGACUGGCACAGCACUAAAAGUUGUGGCCACCUCACUUUGGGUCCAGUGUUUUUAGAAAGAGCGAAAGGCUUCCUGUCAUUGUGGGACCAGGCUCUCGGCUGUUUCUUGGUGGGAACGGAGAAGGGGCUCCCCCUGGAGCUUGAGUCUCUGAUGCAGCCCCAGGCAUCUGUGGACCUGGGGCAGGGGUGCCAGGGGCUGCUGGGCUGUGGGGACGACACCCCUGGGCCGGGACGGCAGGCAGCCUCGGACCACUGACAGAACAGUCGUAGCGCAGAGGUGGCAGGAGGAUUUGUUAGCGGGUGGAAAGGAGUGGUUGGGGACCUGGGGGAAGGCAGUUGUGACCCACCUCAGCCCCUGGAGAAAAAACCAGGGUCCUCUGCACUUGAUUACUGCCCCCUCAGCCCGGACCCUUCGCUCCCCUUUCCCCUAGAAGGAUCAAGUAACUGGGAAGAAUUUAUUUCACCACCAUGGUGUGUUUUAUUAGAUUUCCUUUCCUAGGCAAUUUCCAGGCAAAGCCCUGAUUGGACAAUCACAUCACUGAUCACACUGCAGAUUUUCCAUGUUAACACUGUGGAGGGUUUUUAAUCAAUAAAACUGGGGGUUUCUUCUCACCUGGGGGUUUCCUCUCUCCAAACUGCCAGAAGCCGGUGGUUCCGCGUGGCAGGCUUCACGCUGGGGCCACGGGAUGGGGCCGGGAGCUCGAUGGGCCUAGAAAGGGCAGGGCGGGGGAUGGAAAGGGACAGGCAGCCCCCUCUGGUCUGAGGAGCCAGGAGCAGAAGCGGGGGCUCUGUCCUCAGGACUGUCCUGGCUGCCCAUGGCCCCAUGGGGAUGCUCGGCACCCGGGCUCCUGUGCUGGUGAGCGGGGGGCACACUCGCCCUGAGUAUCCAGGUGAGGCUGGCGCAGGGGUGCUUGUGAAUUCAAGCAAUAAGAGGGGUGUCUUGGGAGCUUCCAGCCGGGCUAGAGGCACCCGUGGCUUCUGGCAGCUGGACCUGCAGCCCAGGUGCUGGGGGGAUCUUGGCGACGACGCUGUGCCUGUCCCACUGAGUGUUACACGCAUGAACGGGGGGUGCGGGUGGGGGUGGGGGACUCAGGGCUGAACCGAUGUCCUAGUGGACCUGAUGUGAAAUUCUGUCAAAACUUUUCAAUGGUUUGCUAGGAUUAUUUCUGUAUUGAAAGUUUCUAAUUAUGCUUUUUAAAAAAAAAAUACUAAAAAUAAAGGUUCAAGCUGCCAAAUUUU